rnacentral:rRNA from 1 species
CUACGGGCCGCUGCAGUGGGGAAUAUUGCACAAUGGGGGAAACCCUGAUGCAGCGACGCCGCGUGAACGAUGAAGUAUUUCGGUAUGUAAAGUUCUAUCAGCAGGGAAGAUAAUGACGGUACCUGACUAAGAAGCACCGGCUAAAUACGUGCCAGCAGCCGCGGUAAUACGUAUGGUGCAAGCGUUAUCCGGAUUUACUGGGUGUAAAGGGUGCGUAGGUGGUAUGGCAAGUCAGAAGUGAAAGCACGGGGCUCAACCCCGUAACUGCUUUUGAAACUGUCAAACUAGAGGGCAGGAGAGGAAAGCGGAAUUCCUAGUGUAGCGGUGAAAUGCGUAGAUAUUAGGAGGAACACCAGUGGCGAAGGCGGCUUUCUGGACUGUAACUGACACUGAGGCACGAAAGCGUGGGGAGCAAACAGGAUUAGAUACCCCGGUAGUC